CACAAGCACAGGAGCUUUUCUGGGGGACACUGACAGAUUUCUGGCCUAAAGCAUCCAGGGACAUCACAGCUGUAGACUUCAUAGAUUUUUAACUUUAGCUUCAUAGAGGAGGUUUAUAGAGGAUUCUAGCAGAUUAUAAUUAAGAUUGAAUAAAACAUAACAAAUCAGCAAAAGCAUUCAUAAUAUUUUGAGUUUGUAGAUUUCUUUUAAAGGCAAGACAUGCUAAAGUCUCACUUGGAAAUAAAUGAACAUACAGCAGCUUCCCUUUAGUAGCUGCAGAAGGAGGAGGAGAACUGGAGGCUGGUGCAGUGAAUUUUUUUUCCCCUAUCAAUAUGCAGCUUUUUUUUUUUUUACAUGUGUACCAAAUUAAUGAGAUCCUUACACUCUUAGCUGAGGGCAGAUGGAUCUUGCAUUUAAAAAUAACUUGCUAAAGAUGGAUGUGAAAGCUCUGAGCAAAGACUGUAAGAUGAAAAUGUGAUUCUCUUAGGAAGGCAAGAGGCCAUUACAUGAUGAAAGAACCCAUGGCACUAAAUGGGAUGCAACAGCUGUUUCCAGUUGAGGAGCAUCUCAUGCCUGUUCCCAUGGGCUUUGCAUCCAGACAUUGCUGUUUCUGGUUCCUUCCCAGGUACCCUGACUCAUGGUACCGAGAUAUCACUUCCAACAAGAAGUUCUUUUCCCUCGCAGCCACAUACAGAGGCUCCAUCGUGGGGAUGAUAGUGGCAGAGAUCAAGAGCAGGACGAAGGUGCACAAAGAGGAUGGAGAUAUCCUAGCUUCCAAUUUUCCUGUGGACACUCAAGUUGCUUACAUCCUAAGUCUUGGAGUGGUGAAGGAGUUCAGAAAACAUGGAAUAGGUUCCCUCUUGCUUGAGAGUCUGAAAGAUCACAUCUCCACCACUGCCCAGGACCACUGCAAAGCCAUCUACCUGCACGUGCUCACCACCAACAACACAGCAAUAAACUUCUAUGAAAACAGAGACUUUAAACAGCACCACUAUCUCCCCUAUUACUAUUCCAUCCGAGGGGUCCUCAAAGAUGGCUUCACCUAUGUCCUCUACAUCAACGGUGGGCACCCACCCUGGACAAUCUUAUAUCCUUUCCCUGCUGAGCAGAGGCCAAACCCUGUUUUGAGUUAACAACAGCAAAGUGUGGGUAGAUGUGGGAACUGAAACCUGCUCAGAUGUGGGUUUAAUCUGAAGCCAGAAGAAGGAUGUUGUUGGAGUUAUUUGACAUAGGAUGGUUGGAGCAAGUUGGAUGCCAGUGAGAGCGAGUGCUGGUGUUAGACACAAGUGCCAGGUGUGCUUUGGCUUGUAGGGUGCAGGAUUUGGCCACACACGGCAGAGAAAUCCUUGGUCUUGCUUCCUGUGACCUGGGAUCCCCUGUGAGCCUGGGCUGGCCUGUAUCUCAGCAGGUUGCUCCCACACUGACUUAGGGGGUUUCUUUCAGGUCAAUGGAUCAUGGAGAAGAAACUCCAUCCUUCCUGGGUAUAGCUGAUCAGUUCCAACCUCCCUGGGCAGGUGAAUGGAUUGCUAUCCCCACUGUGGAGUGAGUGCAAAAGGAACUGGCCGCUGCUCAUAGGAGGUAUUUCCCACACAAGCUGGAGCUGCCAUUCCCAAAUUGCCAUGCUUUACAGCACAGAGCAGACCUGCUUUUGAUAGAAAGGUGGAGGCAAUGCAAGGAGCAGAUCUGACUGAGCUGAGGAGUUCCACUGUGUCAGGGGUCCCUGUGGGCAAGCACAUUGGCUCCACCCUAGCCAGUCUGAGCCCGUGCUCCAUUCCCCAGAGGAUAUACAGACAAGCCCAGAGCCUCCUCUGCAGCCUCCUG